CAGUAGCCGCGGUAAUACGGAGGGAGCUAGCGUUGUUCGGAAUUACUGGGCGUAAAGCGCGCGUAGGCGGUUACUCAAGUCAGAGGUGAAAGCCCGGGGCUCAACCCCGGAACUGCCUUUGAAACUAGGUGACUAGAAUCUUGGAGAGGUCAGUGGGAUUCCGAGUGUAGAGGUGAAAUUCGUAGAUAUUCGGAAGAACACCAGUGGCGAAGGCGACUGACUGGACAAGUAUUGACGCUGAGGUGCGAAAGCGUGGGGAGCAAACAGGAUUAGAUACCCCAGUAGUCCCUGUCUCUUAUAC
rnacentral:rRNA from 1 species